rnacentral:rRNA from 1 species
AUGCGUAAAUUAAACAAAGCAAUCCAAAAGCUUUUCGAUCAGUACUCUCAAGAGAUUCCUGUUCAUCACCAACAAGAGGAUUGUGGGAGUCCUAGUGCCGAGGAGGAUGAAGAAGACGAUGAUCCACUUGUGGAGUGGGAUCAUUAUAUCAGUUGCAAAAAAGGGCAAGCAAAUAAUGAGCUGGAUCAGUAUUUGAAAGGGGAGUUGUAUCCACGGAAGAAAGAGUUGGACAUAUUAGAAUGGUGGAAAAUCAACUCUCUCAAGUAUCCGGUCCUCUCUACAAUUGCUCGUGACAUAUUGGCUAUUUCUGCGUCCACGGUGUCUUCUGAGUCCGCUUUUAGUUCUGGAGGACGCAUUGUCAGUGAUUAUAGGAGCAGUCUUUCUUGCUCCACCGUCGAAGCUUUGAUUUGCCUACAAGACUGGCUGAGAACAAAUGGUUAG